AUAAUUUUAGCCUUUUGGCUAAGAUCAAGUGUACUAUCUCUUCUUGCUACGUGAAUAUCUGUUACCUCCUCAAUGUGGAAAAAUAUUAAAUGGAUUUGGGGCAUUAUGAUAUGAAAAGGGAGAUUGUACCACCCAGACCACAUGUAACCUGAUAUUGCAGUACUGCCUAAAAUAAUUCUG
ensembl:snRNA Gm24037 predicted gene, 24037